UGAGGAAUAUUGGUCAAUGGGCGGAAGCCUGAACCAGCCAUCCCGCGUGCAGGAAGACAGCCCUAUGGGUUGUAAACCGCUUUUCCAGUGGGCGAAACACUCGUACGUGUGCGAGAUUGACGGUACACUGGGAAUAAGCAUCGGCUAACUCCGUGCCAGCAGCCGCGGUAAUACGGAGGAUGCAAGCGUUAUCCGGAUUUAUUGGGUUUAAAGGGUGCGUAGGCGGAUGAAUAAGUCAGUGGUGAAAGGCUGCAGCUUAACUGUAGACUUGCCGUUGAUACUGGUUAUCUUGAGUAUGGUCAAGGCAGGCGGAAUGUGUAAUGUAGCGGUGAAAUGCUUAGAUAUUACACAGAACACCGAUUGCGAAGGCAGCUUGCUGGGCCAUUACUGACGCUGAUGCACGAAAGCGUGGGGAGCGAACAG
rnacentral:rRNA from 1 species